GUACACUCCUACGGGAGGCAGCAGUGGGGAAUAUUGCACAAUGGGCGCAAGCCUGAUGCAGCGACGCCGCGUGGGGGAUGAAGGCCUUCGGGUUGUAAACUCCUUUCGCUAGGGACGAAGCUUUUUUGUGACGGUACCUAGAUAAGAAGCACCGGCUAACUACGUGCCAGCAGCCGCGGUAAUACGUAGGGUGCGAGCGUUGUCCGGAAUUACUGGGCGUAAAGGGCUCGUAGGUGGUUUGUCGCGUCGUCUGUGAAAUUCUGGGGCUUAACUCCGGGCGUGCAGGCGAUACGGGCAUAACUUGAGUGCUGUAGGGGUAACUGGAAUUCCUGGUGUAGCGGUGAAAUGCGCAGAUAUCAGGAGGAACACCGAUGGCGAAGGCAGGUUACUGGGCAGUUACUGACGCUGAGGAGCGAAAGCAUGGGUAGCGAACAGGAUUAGAUACCCCAGUAGUCCCA
rnacentral:rRNA from 1 species